rnacentral:ncRNA from 1 species
UUCAUAUGUCCCGGAAAAGGUGCCCACCCACGGGUGGGCUUAAAAGGGAAACCGGUGCAAAUCCGGUGCGGUCCCGCCACUGUGAAGGGGAGCCGCGGCGCGUAUCCACUGAGUCGACGACUUGGGAAGGGCGUCGUGGGCGUUGAACCUGAGCCAGGAGACCUGCCUUUUCUGAGAACACCGC